ensembl:snRNA U2 U2 spliceosomal RNA
AUCGCUUCUCGGCCUUUUGGCUAAGAUCAAGUGUAGUAUCUGUUCUUAUCAGUUUAAUAUCUGAUACGUACCACAUUGUGGUACCUUAUAUUAAAUUGAUUUUUGGAACAGGGAGAUGGAAUAGGGGCUAGCUCCGUCCACUCCGCGCAUCAACCCGGUAUUGCAGUUUCUCCGGGAAUGGUGCACCUCCC